ensembl:scaRNA small Cajal body-specific RNA 11
UUGUCCUGUGCCUUUUUCUGCUUCCCUGUGCUCAGUCUCAACAGGGUGGUCUGGCAGGACACACAGCAAUUUCCCUCUCCGUUUAAGAGGGCUAUCCUAAGAAUAGGGCUAGCUCUUAAAGGCAUGAGAGAACAAU